AUUCUGUGUGGAAGUCUGACAAAACAUCAUGAUGACUGAAAUCACCCACAAGAGAUUGCCAGGAUUGGAGCCUGUCCUGCUCAGGGCCCAUGUGGCUGCAGCUCAGAGCACAGGACAGGGCAGAGAAAAACUCUCCCACCCCCAUCUGCCUUCUGCAGUUUCUGUCAUCUCCUGGGAAUCCAGCUCUGCAGCACAAAGUGAGUGUGAAGAUGGACAGGUGGUGUUGGCAUUUCUCUUCCAGUUUCUGUAGCAAUUACAGCAUUGUGUCAUCAAAUCUGCAUACAAAGUAGAUUAAAAGCACCACUUGAUUUCAGUGUGUGGUUCCUAGGACCUCUUCUUAGUUGGUGGUUAUCCUAGGGUUAUGCAUCCUUUGUAUGCUCAAAGAACAGUGCCUGCACACCUCAGUUACAGCCAUCUGAGGCUGUCUGCAAACCAAAUCCUGCAUUACUGAGUUGGCACCAAGAUGAGGGAUAUGAAAUUAGAGACUAACAUUAAGCACUCCUUUCCUAGAACAGUCCAGCAGAAGCAGAGCAGACUGCAGUUCUCCAGGGAUAGCAUCCUAUUAUCCUAAUUGUAAAACAAUCCUGUUUCUUCAUGCAGUUCCCUGUAUCAUCCACUAUUCAUUUCCCAAUAUCAGGAACAAUGACAAGGGUCUGACAGGCAGCAGAUCCUUUUGGUUCAGAAACUGAUUCAUACUCACAGCACAACUGAAAGGGAAAAUCACUGCAGAGCAAGGGCUGCUGGCAACCAGCCCACAGCUCGGGAGGCUGCACAGGGAUGGGACACCACUGGGAGAGCUGAGAGGUGGAAGUGGCUUUUUGCAGUGGCUGCUGAAGCGAGCUAAAUGCAUUGAGAUGUUUGGAGAUGUCCUCAGCCAUCUUCAGCCUGAAGCACCACUGAGACCCGCAGCUGCUGCAGAACACAAUGAAGCUACCAGAGAUGCUAAUGGAGGAGCUGAAGGGUUCAUAGGCAGAAAGCAAGGGGUGUGCUGUGGAGCCUACAACCAUGGAUUGCAGGAAUGCCUUUCUUAAAGCCAACAGAAUGCCAUCUUUUUUGAUGGAAAUAUAACAGUGGGACUUGAAAGCAUGACCAGCGCCCAGCGUUCAAAACAGCAUGCGUAAGGCCAGACACAAACUGUGAGACUAUCUUUAAGUCAUUAAAAAGAUCUAGAAUUAGUCAUAUUUGCCCUUUAUUUCUGAGCCUUUCAUGUUUCCUUGCUUUUGUGUUUUCAUUCUUUCCUUUCCCAGGAGCAGGAUACAACUUCAAGGGGGAGGAGAAACAAAGAGGACACCUGGGUUUGGGGUGCUGGGCCUCUGCGCCAUGCACCAAGAGCCACCAAGUCCAGAGAGCCAGCAGACUGUGAGACCCAGAGACUUUCAGUAAGCC
ensembl:lncRNA